AUUGAACGCUGGCGGCAGGCCUAACACAUGCAAGUCGAGCGGGGGAGGUUGCUUCGGUAACUGACCUAGCGGCGGACGGGUGAGUAAUGCUUAGGAAUCUGCCUAUUAGUGGGGGACAACAUUCCGAAAGGAAUGCUAAUACCGCAUACGCCCUACGGGGGAAAGCAGGGGAUCUUCGGACCUUGCGCUAAUAGAUGAGCCUAAGUCGGAUUAGCUAGUUGGUGGGGUAAAGGCCUACCAAGGCGACGAUCUGUAGCGGGUCUGAGAGGAUGAUCCGCCACACUGGGACUGAGACACGGCCCAGACUCCUACGGGAGGCAGCAGUGGGGAAUAUUGGACAAUGGGCGGAAGCCUGAUCCAGCCAUGCCGCGUGUGUGAAGAAGGCCUUUUGGUUGUAAAGCACUUUAAGCGAGGAGGAGGCUCUUAAGGUUAAUACCCUUGAUGAGUGGACGUUACUCGCAGAAUAAGCACCGGCUAACUCUGUGCCAGCCGCCGCAGUAAUAC
rnacentral:rRNA from 1 species